rnacentral:tRNA from 1 species
UUCCUUUUAGUAUAAACCUUUACACUUAACUUCCAAUUAAGUAAUCUCUAGGAAGAGAUAGGAA